AGCCUCACCCCAACCAUCCAAAACAAUAACAGCAACAGUCUUUCCCUUAGGAAGCUUAGGAUGGUCCUUCAAUUUCCAUGCAUCUCCUGAACUACCCAUUAUCUCAGAUCUUAAAAAUUCUUAAGCGGUAUAGAAGAGAGAAGAGAGAAGAGAGCAAAAAGGUGUGUAGUGGAGAAAACAAUGGAGGAGUGAAGGAGGGGUCUUUAUUGGAAUGGAGGGCUGAAAUACCGG
rnacentral:misc_RNA from 1 species